rnacentral:tRNA from 1 species
UCUAAACCCUAAAAAUGAAAUUUUUAUUUCUUGAAUCA